rnacentral:lncRNA from 1 species
UCGCUUCUUCCUUGGCGGUCUCAAGGGCCUGAAUCAAAUUCUCCAAACAAGUUGUCCCAGGAUCAUCAGAUGGACUUGGGCAUCAAAUUUUCCGCAACAUCAACAGGAGUCAUAUUGGUUUCCUCCAACAAUCUGCGGAUGCUUGCAAACAAAUGGUGGGAGUCAAGAUCCAAGUAAUUCUUAGCAAACACCUUGAAUGCUUCAAAGCAACAGUAGGAUAAUUUAUUAUUAGUGAAUUAAUUUGAAAUUUAUUAAUUUGGGUUUGUGGGCAUAUUGUAUUUGGUGAUUAAUUUAAGGAUAUUUGGAUUAUAUUAAUUGUAAACUGUUUAUUUGGAUUUGGGCUUAUUGUUUAAGUUGUUAUUUGUUUGGGUUUAAAAUAUUAUUUCUCUUGAUCAUGUAUUUUUUUUUUAUGUGAGCUUGUUAAUUUAUGUGAAUUUUGGGGCUCAUAAUGUAGAUGAGAUUUAUUGGAUUAUUUAAAUAUUUUAUAUGGGUUUGAUCAAUUUGAAUUAUUUAAUUUAGAUAUGAGACAAUUGUGGUGUAUAUUAAAUUAAGCUUAGAUUAUGAAAUAUUAAAUUUAUGUUUAGUAGAAUUUAUUUUAAUUGGGUUGUGUUGUUGGAAGGGAGAUGUGGUGGAGUGCUGUGAAGGAGGAAGAAGAAGGAGAAGAAGAAAAAAAAUCUGGGCCCGCGUGGGAGUUCGGGGGAGAAGAGAAAAGGAAAAAAUAUGGGAAGAUGUCAGGGUGGGGUGCCGGAGGAAAGAAAAAAAAUGAGGGGGGAAGGGAGGCUGGCGAAAAGCCAGGGACCCCACCCAAAAAAAUUGGGGGCACUCGUUUCUCUUUUGGGAAUAGGGGAGAGGAAAAAAAGAAAAAAAUGUAAAAAAUCAGCAGAGAGAGAGGCGGGCUGCCGAAUGGAGGGAAAAUCAAUCGGGGGAGGGCCGGCCAAUUGGGAAACGGAGGAAGAAAAAAAUAAUAAAAAAAAGGAAGAAAAUCAUGAAGAGUGGAGAGGGGGGCUUUUAGACGUGAGAGAGCAUGGGUUAGGUGAGGGUAGGUGGAGGAAGAGAAGAGAGAAGAGGGAGGAGAGAGGAAAGAAAAAAAUAAUAAUAAAUAUAUAUAUAUAUAUAUCAUAUAAUAUAAUAUAAUAAUAACAAAAAAAAUAAAAAAAUAAAAAAAUAAUUUAUAAAAUAAUAAAAACGAGAAAUUAAAGGAUGAAUAGACUUAAAAUUGAACUUAAAAUUAAUAUAAAAAUAAAAUUAAAAUAAAUUUUGAACUCUACAUAUAUAUUUAUAAAUUAAAAAGUCUAAAUUAGGUUCGAACUUAGGUCUUCCAUCAUUCAUCGACAGCUUGGCCAGAACAUUGGUUGUUGGGACAUUGUAUGAGCACAGCAUUUUUAGUUUUUAGUUGAACUACAAAAACGGAAAAAACAAUUGAUCCUCAUGUUUUAAAAGAAAGAAAUUACUGUGAAGAGUAUGAAAUAAUAUUAAAAAUAAAACAAAGUUGAAAUUCUUUUAUUCCGGUCACUGACUGAGAAAUAAGAAGAGAAACAAGAGACAAGGAGUACUGACAGCUUGAACCAAACAACCAGCUGCAUCAGACCAGAGUCAGAUGGAAGUUGGUCCAUUUAGCCCAGAGCUUCAUUCUACAUGACAAACACACUGAACCUAAAAGCUUAUCCUAAAUUAAUUAAGUAGAUGGUGGUUCUUUGGGGAUCACCCCAUUUUCUCUCGCUGCCGACACUCCAUUCUCUUUCACCUCUUCACCUGACAUUUCCUUCUCUUUCACUUCUCCAGCAGUUGCCUCCUUCUCCUUCCCUUCUUUCUCGGCCUUUAGCCUCUCCUCUUCCUCUUCCUUCUCUGCCUUCACCCUCGCUUCUUCCUUGGCGGUCUCAAGGGCCUGAAUCAAAUUCUCCAAACAAGCUGUCCCAGGAUCAUCAGUACUGAUGGACUUGGGCAUCAAAUUUUCCGCAACAUCAGCAGGAGUCAUAUUGGUUUCCUCCAACAAUCUGCGGAUGCUUGCAAACAAAUGGUGGGAGUCCAGAUCCAAGUAAUUCUUUGCAAGCACCUUGAAUGCUUCAAAGCAACAGUAGGAUAAUUCUAUGUGCCUGUCCAUCCUCCCUCUCCUUAUGAGAGCAGGAUCAAGUUUUUCCACGUGAUUGGUGGUGAAAACUAUGAGUCUCUCUUCGCCACAAGCUGACCACAGCCCAUCAAUAAAAUUCAGAAGCCCGGAUAGAGUAACCUUGCUUUCUUUGCUUUCACCUUCUUUCCCCUUCUUAGGAAUUGGAUUAUCCUUGGACUCUUCGUCCUCCUCUUCCUUUUCCUUCUUUUUCUUACGUUGGCCUGUGAGGUCAAGCGAACAGUCGAUGUCCUCUAUCACAAUGAUGGACUUACUCGUUGUCUCGAUCAGUAGCUUCCGCAGCUCCGUGUUGUCCUUAACGGAAGUGAGUUCAAGAUCAUAGAUAUCAUAAUUCAAAAGGUUAGCCAUGGCAGCAAUCAUGCUCGACUUGCCAGUUCCUGGAGGACCAUGAAGGAGAUACCCUCUCUUCCAAGCCUUCCCAAUUUUUGAAUAAUAAUCUUUCCUCGUGCGGAAGAUGGUGAGAUCAUUAACAAUUUCCUCCUUCUUCUUUGACUCCAUUGCUAGAGUCUCAAAUGUGGCUGGGUGCUCAAAGGCCACAUGACUCCACACGGACUUUUUGUAUCCAUGCCAAUUGUCACUUGGAUUGUUAGUGCAGAGCUUUCGCUGCCGAUUUCUGACUGCAAUUGCCUUCCCCUCCUUUAUCACAUGAUUGAGAUAAGACCCCACGAUCAAAUCUCGGUACUGUUGAUGGAAAGUGAGCCUAUAGUACCUCUUCUCAUCAGCAGCAGGAUAAAAAGAAAUGGCCUGCAUUUUAGGGGGACUUUUAUUGGAAACCCACCAAAGCUUGACCCCCUGGAAUUCAUCCGUGACUUCUUCAUGGUCAUCCAUGCUGAGGACUACAGAUUGGCUGUCUUUGAUGAUAUCUGCCUUGAGCCGCUUGGCCCGGGCAGAUGAAUUAGCACUGAGGUAGUUCUCAAUGGCAGCAUAGGCUUCGCUGCGCUUGCGUCUGAAGCUAUUUUCAGUGAACUCCUGGAAAGUGAUUUGAAUGUAAGGGUACACAAAGCUCACCAACUUUUGGCUGUACUUUUCAAUAUAGGGCCGGAGCUGGUAAGGGAAGUAUUGCUGAAACAUGGCCCAGAGAAAGAUUGCCCCAGCGGCUACCGAGCCUAGUUGACCAAACAUCUCCCCCAUCACCACCUUCUUCUCCAAAGUUUUCGAGUAUUAGUGGUAAAAUGUGUUUGUAAGGAUUGAACGUUGCUUGCCGAUUAUAUAGAGGAGCAAAACCGACACUGAUAUUCAUCAUCUCACAAGUUCUAUUCUGUGGCCACCGCCAACGACGACAUUUCAAGCUCUAUUUAGUGGCUUCGUCACCAAGGAAAAUUCCCAUUUUCUUGUACCAGCAGCCACCUUUGACGAUAUUAAUCGACCGUGGAAUACUGGAAUGGGUGGAAAUUUCAUUCUGAAGGCCAUCGAUAACUGCAUAAAUGUAUUAGAUUGCAGUUCAAUAUAAUUAUGUUUUGACUUUUGAGUCAUGGCUAAAGACAAUUCUAGUUUCAUUCUUCAAAAAAUGACGUACGUUUGGAGAUAAAUUUUUUAAUUAUCAUAUCUUAAAUUAUUUUUAAAAAAAAAUCGAUAUCCUUGUGUUCUAUAUUUUAGGUUAUAUUUAAUUUUCAAAAAUACUAUAAAAAAAAGGUAAAAAUAAUUAUUUGCUCAUAUUUGAUUAUUCUAUAAAAAAUUUUAAAUAUAAUUAAUAUUAGUUAAAAUUUUAUAUAUUAAAAAAUUAAAAUAAAUAAAAUAAAUUUAUGUAAUUUAUAAAUAAAAAAUUAUUAUUUUUAUUUUUUUCUUAUAUAUUUUUUCAAAUUUUUGGAAACAUAACCUUAGUCUUCUCGAAGCUCAUAUUUGAAUUUGAAAUUUCAACUUGUUUGGUUGUUGGAAAGCUUCCAGAAAAGUGGAAAAACAGGAGAAAAUCAAAAGAAAAAAACAAGUAAAAGAUAGUUUAAAUUUAAUCAAUUAUUCCCCACUUUUCUCCUUAGCAUAAAGAAUGUGUCCCCAUACACUUUAAAGAAAAAUAAAAGAUUAUUUAAAUUUAAAUAAUUUAAAUACUGAAGUUCAUAAAUAAUCUUUCUCUUCGUAUUUAAUUUUCUUCCAUUCUCAACUUGUUUAUUGGGUUGAUGAUGCAAUCAGCUGAUAUCAUCAAUUUUUUUUUCACAUGCCUAAAUUGUCCUUAUUACAAUUAUUUUUAAUUAACAUAUAAUUAUCUUAAUUAGUAUAAAUUAAGGAAAAUUAAUCAUAAUCAGCAUUAAAGUAACCAAUACAUUUAAUUCAAACCAUAAAAUCUUAUAUCUUCUUCAAUAAAAAAAACUUCAAUUUCUCAUCUCAUUUUUAUUUUUUAAAUUUCUCCUAGGACACGAGAGAAAUUACAAUAAUAAAUAAAUAAAUAAAUAUAUAAAAGAAUUAGAGUUUGAAAGUAAUUUUAAAAAAUAGUUUUUGUAAAUAAUUUUUAAAAAUAUUUUUAAUUGUUUUGAGGAAUAAUUUUUUUUUUUUGAGAAUUUAAAUAUAGAAAUUUUUUUUAUGAAACUAUUAUAUACUUUUAUAUAAUACAAAAUAUUCUUUGUAUUUUUUAUUUUUAAUUGUUGUUCGAAAUUCUUUAUAAAAAUAUAUAUAAAUUUUGUUUUAAAAAAUCAACAUGUUCUCAAAAAGUCAUUUUUUAAAGUUAGAAAAUUAUUUUUUAUCUUAAACAAUAAAAUUUUAUUUUCAAGAAAACUUUCCAAACAGGUCUAAGAGUUUUGAAAGAAAAGGAAAGGCACUUGACACUUUCUCCACCAAAAUUUAAAUAAAAAAAAAAAUUGAUAAAAACUAAAGAAGAUAAAAAAGGAUAAAGAGUUGUGGACCGACCCACCAGCACGGCUAAGCUCGUCCCAAGGGAUCAUGGGCCAUACUGGGCUGUCCAUUUGUCUUGGACGGGCCGAGCACUAUCUUCAGGCGGCUUGCGCAGCCUGUUGGAACGGCCCGUUUUACGCGGACAUGAUUUCAGCAACUCAGCUAGAUGUUCUUGUUUUUUAGUUUUAGUUUUAUUUUUUAUUUUGGGGAAAAAAAAGGCGGAAAAAUGAUGGGAAAAAGCCUUGUUUUACACGGCUUGGACGAACCAAAUUUGGAAACUUCAUGCAUAAUUCACCCUUUAUUAAAUUAUAUGAAUUAUAAUAUAGUCUAUUUACAAAAAUAUUAAUAUACACUUUAUUAAUAAUUUAAUUUAAUUUCUUGCAUGACGAGCUUGAGCUCUUAGAAAAAAAGUAACGCUAAAGACCAUAUGUUUGAACUUAUUAAAUGAAGAGAAAAGACAAUUCAAUCUUAUCAUAUCUUCGAAAGUAAAAAAUUAGUCACACUCAUUACAAUUGAAAACAUAUCCACAAAAGUUUUGAUACAAAUAAGAUAUUGAAAAUGUUUAAAUCGGGAUGAAUCAUGAAACUUAUAUGACUCACAAUAAUCACAAAACCACUGACAAUACAUAUGAAAAAAAAAUAAACCUUGUACUUGAUGAAGUAAAAAGUCCAUAAUUGAAAGUCGAUAUAAUUAAAUGCACUAAAAUCAAUUACCUAACGAUUAAAGUGAUUGUCUUGCAAGAGUGAGAAAGCAAAAGCAUUACAACAAUUACCCAUGUUUAAAUGACUUAUCAUCUCUUGAACUUGAUUUGUAAGUUGGUUGAUGGGUAUUAUCAAAUUUUGCAUGUUUAGAUCACACUUGGACAAUGUUGCAAUAGUUGUGUGAGAAGUCUUUCAAAGUGUAGAUUUCUCUUUCAUAUUAUACUUCAUAUGGCCAAUUUUUAAAAAUGUAUAUGCAAGGUGAAAUUUAAGUUAUAUUGUCGAGGACUAAAUUUUGUGGCAAACGCAAAAUCUUCAUUUGUCUUUGGUUUUUGCAUUGUUCCAAACAUAAAUUGAUCUUCCUCUACUUUCUUUGAGUAAAAAAAGUUUUUUCAAGUCUCCCUGACUUCAAACUCUGAUAAUACAUAAUCAAUACUAAUAAAAGAAAGAGUAUAAUGAAGUACAAAAGUUAUAACAAACUCAAAAUUAUCUAAAAAAGCCAUUAGAAAUUACACAAGAUGUAAUUCUUCUUUGUAAUUGUUACGAAAUAAUGAGACUAGACAAUAAGAAAACAAAAUAAGAACAUAUAGAUUUACAUGAAAAUCCUAGGUGGAAAAAACCGUAAGCAUAGGAGAAGAAGAUCCACUAUGUCAAAAAAUAGUACAAAAGAGAAGAGUUGUGAAUGGUUACAAUAAAAGUAUAAUUAUCAUAACAUUAAAACUAUACAUCAUCAUCUAUAUAUAUAUACCUAUCCGCCCAAUCCCUCCACUACCACUACAAACCCUCCAAAAAAAUCUCAAAAUUAGCUAUACCACAUAUGUCACACCACAAGCUUUUCAAGAUUGGCAAAAGAGAAAUCGGGUCACCAAACUCUAAUAGUAUGAAUACUAUAAUUGAGCAUCAACAAUCCACUUUGGCUCCAUAUGAGCAAAUUCAUAUGAGAGAAUUAAGAUUUCACCAUGAAAUUUAAAAUUAAUUGCUUUUUCUUUUGUUUUCAAUCACAAAUAUCAAUCUCAAGUUUGUAUUUUCGUGUGAAGUUUAUUUAAACAUAAUAUUCUACAAGAAAAUCCCAACAUAUACAAGAAAAUACCAUUGUUACAUACAGAUGACUAUAAAAAAUAGUCAAUCAUAGAAGAAAGAUGACAACGGAAAGUAAUUAUUAUUAUGGGAAGGAUGACCGACAAAAAUAAACAACCAUCAAAUACCAACAAUGACCACGUCUUGCUAUCAUCUUCUCCUUUUCUUCUUCAAAAGCUAUGAACAACUAAAUUCAUAAUCCAUGUUAUAAAUUAUUAUUUUUUCCCCUUUUUUCUUAUCUCUCACUCCUCUUGUUUAUUCUCCCCUCUUCCUCUUACAUGUUUCGUGAUUUUUCCAAAUAUUUCUUUGUGCUAGAAAUAUAUUUCCACAAUCCAUUCCCUUUCAAGAAAUUGUUCAUCAAAUAAGAUCACUGGUUAUAAUUUGAUUUGCCGAACCUAACACAGACAGAUUGGGAUAGAUUAGAGGAGGCCUUUGAAAAAGAAAACCACAGGAAAUAAAAAUCUGUGACCUAAACUGAAGAGAAAAGCUACCAAAGCACCUUUCUUGCUAAUUCACGUGAUCUGAAUGAGAGUCCCGCCCUCGAGUUUUUCUUUCCCAUAGUAAGCGUAGAGAUUCUUCACACCAGGCCCACCACAGUAACAGAGGAAUGGAAAAAAUUAUUCAAAGAGAUAAAGGAUUUGAUAGCAUAGAAACUUUUCUACAUAGAAUUUUACAGACCAUUCUAUUAAACUUUAGGAUUAAUGAACAUCAUACACACAUAUGCAUACAAGUACAUGAAAUGAUCUAAAGCCAAUACUACACAAUCAGAGAAAUAUAUUCACAGCCCACGAGGUCGAUUGUGGUUAGACUACCCCAUUUUCUUUCACUGCAACUCCAUUCUGUUUCUCUUUCUCACCUGACGCUUCCUUCUCUUUCACUUCUCCAGCAGUUGCCUCCUUCUCCUUCCCUUCUUUCUCGCCCUUUAACCUCUCUUCUUCCUCCUCCUUCUCUUUAGCUUCCUUCUCGGCCUUCACCCUCGCUUCUUCCUUGGCGGUCUCAAGGGCCUGAAUCAAACUCUCCAAACAAGUUGUCCCAGGAUCACCAGUGACGGACUUGGGCAUCAAAUUUUCCGCAACAUCAGCAGGAGUCAUAUUGGUUUCCUCCAACAAUCUGCGGAUGCUUGCAAACAAAUGGUGGGAGUCAAGAUCCAAGUAAUUCUUAGCCAGCACCUUGAAUGCUUCAAAGCAACAGUAGGAUAAUUCUAUGUGCUUGUCCAUCCUCCCUCUCCUUAUGAGAGCAGGAUCAAGUUUUUCCACAUAAUUGGUGGUGAAAAUUAUCAGCCUCUCUUCCCCACAAGUUGACCACAACCCAUCAAUAACAUUCAGGAGCCCCGAUAGAGUAACUUUGCUUUCUUUGCUUUCACCUUCUUUUUCCAUUUUACGAAUUGGAUCCUUCUUCUCUUCCUCA